ensembl:lncRNA
UGGAGUAGUAAAAAGCGUCUCAUUGUAGCAUAAUAACAGUGUAAACAAUAACUAUAUCAGUCAGUACGUUUACAUGGACAACAAUAAUCCAAUAUUAACCCGAUUAAGACAAUACUCCAAUUAAGCAACUACCAUGUAAAUGGCAAUUUUAAUUACCUUAAUCCGAUUAAAGUCAUACUUGAAGUAAACACAAAUGGAAUUAAGACAUGUGGACCGCAUUUAGUCGCAUUAUGGAGGUGUAUUACAGACAUGUAAACACCUUAAUCACAUUAUUAACGUCGUGUGAGAGUUUUGACUGAAUUUUGCGACAGGACACGAUCACACACGGCAGUGCUCAACCGUUUUUCGGAAAAAAGAGAGCACGGCUGCGUCUGAAACCGCAUACUUACCUACUAUAGGCCUGUAGUAGGUGAAAUACCUGCAUCUCGGCUACUAUAUAGAUGGUUAGGGGUUUGAUUCCCACUUCCACCCAUGUGUGUGCCACACAUGAUCUUAUGGAGAUGUCAGUGAUACUGACUCUUUCUGCUCUCUGACUUGCCUGAUCCAUCCUGAUGCCCUACCUCUGGAUGGGGUUCUCAUCAACUGGAGGCUACAUUCUGUCACUGAGGAUGACCCCAAUCAGCACAGCCUGGAGAUUGCUGAGGAUGGUGUUGCUUGAAGUAACAUGAAAAUGGUUUUGGACCUCAAUUCCACAUGGACAUUCUUGCUGUGAUUAUGGUUGCUGCUAUGGCCUUAGGACUGCAAUUACCACAUACCAUUUUGCACUCAGGUCUCCUUUAGUGAACAGUGGACUAGUUCAACAAAACAGACUUCAUAUAAAAACCAUAAUGAACUUUCUUUUGCUUUCACACUAUCCACUGUUACCCAGAUGAGGAUGGGUUCCCUUCUGAGUCUUGUUCCUCUCAAGGUUCCUUCCUCAUAUUAUCUUAGGGAGUUUUUCCUUGCCACUGUGGCCACCGGCUUGCUCAUUAGGGAUAGUCACACACUUAAAAUCUGUAUCCUGUGUUUAUAUGUUUCUGUAAAGCUGCUUUGAGACAAUGUCCAUUGUUAAAAGCGCUACACAAAUAAAAUAAAAUGUAAUUUAAUUGAAUGUGUGUGUGGAGUUUGCAUGUUCUCUCCGUGCUUCCUUUGGGUACUCUGGUUUCCUCCCUCAGUCCAAAGACAUGCGCUGAAGGCUGAUUGGUAUUUCCAAAUUGUCCAUAGUGUAUGAAUGGGUGUGUGAGUGUGUGUGCGAUUGUGCCCUGCAAUGGGUCGGCGCCCUGUUCAAGGUGUCCACCUCCUUGUCCUUGUGCCGCGAUUCCCCUGGGAUAGGCUCCAGGCUCCCCGUGACCCUGUGUAGGAUAAGCAGGACAGAAAAUGGAUGGAUGGAUAUAGCCUAUGUACAUUGCACCUCUACUGUCAUUUCACUUUACAACCUUCUUCAGCACGUUGUAAUAAUUUGUCUUAUUUCUACACAGGUACAUUGUAUUUAUUUGAUAUUCUACAUUUUAU